GGAAGUUAAACUUGGGAAUGGGGGUAAGGAAAGGUGUUUUUUCUAAAGUCUGUAUUUUCUUUCUAGAAACAGAUGGAAUAAAAUUUCUCCCAAGCUGAGUCUGUUUUGCCCAAGACAGGCAUUAAUUCUAUAUUAUUACUGCCUGAAUCAUAAAGGAACCUUGGCUUUCAUGUCAGACAAAACAAGUUUCUGGGAAGUAAAGACCUCUGUGCAAAGUAAUGUGAAAAGCAGCUAUGGACAUACUGGCAGUGGAAUGAAGGAAGGAACAUAUUAGACUUCUCAAUGCUAAGAGAAAUUAGCAUCUUCAUGGACUUGUAUCAAAAUGUAUUCAAAUCAAGGUUAAAACACAUGUCGGCAAGGCUGAAAUUGAUGCAACACAAGUAUUCAGUGCCAGUUGAAGGCCUAAGCAUGGCAGAAAGGCUGAGUGUGAGACCAAGGGCCACCUGAUAUUAAGUAGACUUGUAACUGCUCUUGUUAAAGCUGGUAACUUAAGGACGAAGUAUUACUCUGCAAUUGAAAAAAAAUUACAGGUUUCCAAUUUACAAGAUUCUCUGCCUGAACUGCAUACAAAUUCGGCAUUUGAUUUUUAAAGCAUACACAUGUUUGAAAAUAAUCAAUAUGUUGCCAUCAUCAGACAUCUACUCAGAAAGGAGGAAAAGACUUCUAGAACUGGCAAAACAAAUUUAUAGCUCUCUUCACUCUGCUGCUAUUACUUAAGGUAGAAGGUUACUGAUCUUUUAAUCCUAAUGUUACAACCCAGGCCAGAAAUAGGAAGAAUGAAGAGUUAUUUUCUUUUCAAUGAUACACAUGUUGCAAACAACAAAACCAGAAAUGAUGUGAUAUUUACAGCCUUGGCCAUAAAAUAAUGUUUGCGUACAAAUGCUAUCUGCUAAAUACAUAGCAAAGUCAAGCAAGGUCUGUGGCGUGUAAGAUGGGAUCCAGGACGGCUGAAACCUCUGGGAAUCCUUCCAGUGAUGUCAGCCAGACCCACAUUUGGACUGCAGGAUCGGAAAGAUGCACAGGAUGUAGGUCUUUCCCUUCAUUACAAAGUAAAAUAUUUAAAUUCUGUAACAAACAUGGAAGUAUAGGUGCACUGCAGGCUAUUGUUGUCAUGAACCUCCUUAAAAAAUUCUGUAAUCCAGCAAAUUUUUCUUUGUCUUAUUUCACCAGUUGAUGCCUGAUGUUGUAAACGGUAUGAAUGGAUCAGAUUUUACCCAUGACUCAAAAAGGGAGAGGUAGGAAGGCAAAUUAUUUACCCCACCAUGGUGAUAAUCAGUUAGAAGCAGUAGGUAGAAAGACAGAGAGUGAAAAAAUGUCUUUAGACACAGCAUGGGCAACUCAGCCAGGAUAUUAUCUUAACACCUUUAAAUUUGAAUUUAUUAGAAUCAAGCAGAUGUGGUAUGGUUUUACCUUGCUAAGUUCUGCAUAAUUUACUGGAAUGUGUAGUACUUUUUUUUUUUGUAUGUGUGACUGCUAAAUGUUUUGCAGAUGUUAAAAUUUCAGCUCCACUGGAAUGGGAAAGAAUAUUUACUGGCAGAAGCUGAAAAAAUAUAGAAAGAAUUUUUAUGUCCAUCUUCUCUGAAACUUAAAAGUGAGUCUAAGUGAGUCUC